AAAUGGUUUAGCGUCGUCAGAAAAAGUCCGUUAGCAUCUCAAAGAAGUGCCAGAAAAAAACCUCUAUGACGCAGGAGAAGUUCCUGAUUUUAACAUUUCUGAAGGGAGCUGCUGACAGAGAGGAUGAAAACAUUCACAUUUUGAUGUCCACGCUGUAGGAGCAUUACUAAAUAAUGCUUAUGUUCCUAGGUUCUUCCAUGCUGAUGGCUGUGCUCUAGAGUCAUAUCUCCUGUCGAAGAACAUUUUUAGACAUUAUGAACCAUGAAUAAGUUUAGCUCCAACCCCAGUUAAGCAGACCUGAGCAGCUGAUCAAGGAUCAGCAGAAACUCUGCAGAACGGUGGUCCUCCAGCCUAGGACUGGACACCAGUGUUGUAAGUCAUUCUGUCUCUUUAUAGUGCAUGCUCAGAACAUAUUGCAGGAGAUCUCAACAUUGUCUCUCAAGGUCCACUUACAUGCAGAGUUUUGCUCCAACCUGCAGUGCACCUGAACACAUUAAUCGAGGUCUAACUAUUAGUGUUGUCACAGUACCAAUUUCAGUACCAAAGCAAAACACAAAAACAUGCUAAUUAUUAUUUUUUUUAAUUAUUAUUAUUAGCCGCACUUAUGCUAACAAUUAACUACUCUAAUAACAGUGUUCAUUUCAAUCCGACAUUCAAAUUACAGUUAUAUAUAUAUAUAUCCUGAUAAAUACAGGUGCUGGUCAUAUAAUUAAAAUAUCAUCCAAAAGUUGAUUUCACUAAUUCCAUUCAAAAAGUGAAACUUGUAUAUUAUAUUCA